AAGACUUUAAGCUAAAAAAAACUAAAAACCUUCAAAGUUUUAAUUGAGUAAUCCUCAAGUCUUG
rnacentral:tRNA from 1 species